rnacentral:rRNA from 1 species
CACUAUGCCUAGCCCUAAACAUUAAUAGUACUUUACAACUGCUAUCCGCCCGGGUACUACGAGCAUCAGCUUAAAACCCAAAGGACUUGGCGGUGCUUUAGAUCCACCUAGAGGAGCCUGUUCUAGAACCGAUAACCCCCGUUCAACCUCACCCUUUCUUGUUUAUCCCGCCUAUAUACCACCGUCGUCAGCUUACCCUGUGAAGGCCCUAUAGUAAGCAAAAUUGGCAAAGCCCAAAACGUCAGGUCGAGGUGUAGCGUAUGAAAGGGGAAGAAAUGGGCUACAUUCUCUAAACCAGGGAAUCACGAAUAAUUCAUUGAAACAUGAGUCUGAAGGAGGAUUUAGCAGUAAACGGAAAAUAGAGCGUUCCGCUGAAACCGGCCCUGAAGCGCGCACACACCGCCCGUCACUCUCCCCGAGCUUAAAAACUGCAAAUAAAUAAAACCCUACAACUGCAAAGGGGAGGCAAGUCGUAA